AAUUCUCAACCUUACCAGUUUUGACAAACUUGGUAAUGGCUUGGAUGUGGGGGUUAUUUUGCUGGCUUCGUUAAGAAGUCUGCUCCCCUUAAAUGUAUUAGCCGGUGCCCCGUGUGGAUCCGUCUAUUGGUGUGAUAAUUAUCUACGCCGUGGAUGUCUACUUUAAAUGGGAUGUGCUGCUUCUAACCGUCUAUUAAGUUAGACAAUUCCUGACA
rnacentral:misc_RNA from 1 species